rnacentral:misc_RNA from 1 species
GAAAUGCGAUAAGUAAUGUGAAUUGCAGAAUUCAGUGAAUCAUCGAAUCUUUGAACGCACAUUGCGCCCGCCAGUACUCUGGCGGGCAUGCCUGUUCGAGCGUCAUUUCAACCCUCAAGCCCCCCGGGCUUGGUGUUGGGGAUCGGCCGCCGUUGACCCGGUGGCCGGCCCCGAAAUCUAGUGGCGGUCUCGCUGUAGCCUCCUCUGCGUAGUAGCACACCUCGCACUGGAACGCGGCGCGGCCACGCCGUAAAACCCCCCACUUCUGAAGGUUGACCUCGGAUCAGGUAGGAAUACCCGCUGAACUUAA